UACGAGGGGGGCGAGCGUUGUUCGGAAUUACUGGGCGUAAAGGGCGCGUAGGCGGAUAUUUAAGUUAGAGGUGAAAGCCCAGGGCUCAACCCUGGAAUAGCCUUUAAUACUGGAUAUCUUGAGUUCGGGAGAGGUGAGUGGAACUCCGAGUGUAGAGGUGAAAUUCGUAGAUAUUCGGAAGAACACCAGUGGCGAAGGCGACUCACUGGCCCGAUACUGACGCUGAGGCGCGAAAGCGUGGGGGAGCAAACAG
rnacentral:rRNA from 1 species